rnacentral:rRNA from 1 species
UGUUCCUACGGGAGGCAGCAGUGGGGAAUAUUGGGCAAUGGACGCAAGUCUGACCCAGCAACGCCGCGUGAAGGAAGAAGGCUUUCGGGUUGUAAACUUCUUUUAAGGGGGAAGAGUAGAAGACGGUACCCCUUGAAUAAGCCACGGCUAACUACGUGCCAGCAGCCGCGGUAAUACGUAGGUGGCAAGCGUUGUCCGGAUUUACUGGGUGUAAAGGGCGUGCAGCCGGAGAGACAAGUCAGAUGUGAAAUCCGGGGGCUCAACCCCCGAACUGCAUUUGAAACUGUUGGUCUUGAGUAUCGGAG